rnacentral:rRNA from 1 species
GAUGAACGCUGGCGGCGUGCCUAAUACAUGCAAGUCGAACGCUUCACUUCGGUGAAGAGUGGCGAACGGGUGAGUAAUACAUAAGUAACCUGGCAUCUACAGGGGGAUAACUGAUGGAAACGUCAGCUAAGACCGCAUAGGUGUAGAGAUCGCAUGAACUCUAUAUGAAAAGUGCUACGGGACUGGUAGAUGAUGGACUUAUGGCGCAUUAGCUUGUUGGUAGGGUAACGGCCUACCAAGGCGACGAUGCGUAGCCGACCUGAGAGGGUGACCGGCCACACUGGGACUGAGACACGGCCCAGACUCCUACGGGAGGCAGCAGUAGGGAAUUUUCGGCAAUGGGGGAAACCCUGACCGAGCAACGCCGCGUGAAGGAAGAAGUAAUUCGUUAUGUAAACUUCUGUCAUAGAGGAAGAACGGUGGAUAUAGGGAAUGAUAUCCAAGUGACGGUACUCUAU